rnacentral:lncRNA from 1 species
AGGGAGAAGGUUUGGAUCCAUUAAAACGUUUAAUCCCGCUGCAAAUGUUUGCACCUGUCCUAAGUCAGGAAUCUGAUGUACAGUAGUUGUCGUUUGUUUAUGUAAUUUAUACGUGUUUCUCGUUUCUCGUUUUUUAAUUUUAUAUAGAUUAGACCGUUGGUUUUCCCGUUUGAAUGGUUUUACACUAGUAAUUUUGGGGUCCUUUAUAGCUUGUUGUUCGGUGUGAGCCAAGGCUCCGUGUUGAGGGCUGUACAUUGACCUAUAAUGGUUUACUUUUUUUAAAUUGUUAUUUGGAUGGAGAGUUGUCUCAUUGGCACUCACACCACAUAUUCCUAUAUCUAU